GAUGGGAUGGGCGCAGUCUGACCAGCCAUGCCGCGUGCAGGAUGACGGCCCUAUGGGUUGUAAACUGCUUUUGUACGAGAAAAAACCUUUCCACGUGUGGAAAGCUGAAGGUACCGUACGAAUAAGGAUCGGCUAACUCCGUGCCAGCAGCCGCGGUAAUACGGAGGAUCCAAGCGUUAUCCGGAUUUAUUGGGUUUAAAGGGUCCGUAGGCGGGUUUUUAAGUCAGUGGUGAAAGCCUACAGCUUAACUGUAGAAUUGCCAUUGAUACUGGAGACCUUGAGUGUAGUAGAAGUAGGCGGAAUAAGGCAUGUAGCGGUGAAAUGCAUAGAUAUGCCUUAGAACACCGAUUGCGAAGGCAGCUUACUAUGUUACAACUGACGCUGAGGGACGAAAGCGUGGGGAGCGAACAGGAUUAGAUACCCUGGUAGUCCACGCCGUAAACGAUGAUUACUCGCUGUUAGCGAUAUACAGUUAGCGGCCAAGCGAAAGCAUUAAGUAAUCCACCUGGGGAGUACGCCGGCAACGGUGAAACUCAAAGGAAUUGACGG
rnacentral:rRNA from 1 species